GAGGAGUAACCACUGAUAGGCAAAUGACUGUGCUGACAUUCAGAGGGAUCUGGACAGGCUGGAGCAAUGGACAAAGAUGAGCCUCGUGAAGACCAAGAAAGAGAAACACAAAGUCCUUUCCAUGGGAAGAAAUAACCCUGGUGCACGCACCAGUCCAUGCUGGAGGCUGACCAUCUGGAAAUCAGCUUGGCAGAGAAGGACCUGAAUGCUCUGAUGGACAAGUUGGCAGCAGUGAACCAUAGCAGCAAAGAAGACUAAUCCUUCCCUGCUGUUCUGACCUGGGAGGACACAUCUGGAUUCUGGAUUCUGGAUGUUGUGUUUGGCUCCACAGUACAAGAGAACACAAGGAAAUAUGGCAGUGACUUCAGUAAAGGGCCUCAAGGAUGAUUAAGGAACUGGACUGUACAAAGAAAAGCUAAGAGCUUGGGCUGCUCAAAGAAGGCUCAGACACAGAUAUAUCAACACUUAAACAGAGCUGAUGAGGACAGUAAAGGAGUCAGAGCCUCCCUCUACUCAGAGACACCCAGUGACAGGAUCAGAAGUAAUGGGCACAAACUGAAGCACAGAAAAUUCCAUCCAAACACACAAAACCACUUUUACACUGUGAGAGUGAUGGGGCACUGCAACAGUUUUCCCAGAGAGAUGAUGGAGUCUCCCUCCUUAGAGAUAAAAAAACCAACUGCACAUGGCCCUGAGCAGCCUGCUCUGGUCUGUACUGUGUUUGAGCAGGGGCUGCACUGCACAAACUCCAGAGGUGCUCACCAGCCUCAGCCAUGCUGGGAUUCCAUGAAGCUGCAAGGCAUUUAGAUUCCCUUGAUGAUAAUAAUUCCUAGGAUGAUAAAAAUGUUUUCCAAUGGCAGAAGAGAAGUCACUACAGUCUCUACUUUGCUUUCCAGAUCCUAUCAGAUGUACUGUACUUACAGUAAUCAUGUGGAAGAUAUUAUGGCAGUUGUUAUAGGUUAGGUGUGAUUCCAGUUACAAUGCCGGCACAGGAUAAAAAUUUUUAAAGCUUCAAUUUGAGACAGCAAGAGACUGACAUGAAAACUGAAGACAUGAAGAUGAUGAUCGAUAGACAUGAUACCACUUAAAAUGGCAAAAGCAGAAAAACUCAUAAAGCAACAAGAAAGGAAUGGAUGACCUUGUAAAAAGGCACAGAUAAUAAUCUAUAAUCUAUAAUACCAGCUGCAACUGGGAGUGUGGGUCUGCAAUGUGUAAGCACAAGUAUCAUAUAUUUUUUCUGUGUAGGGGAGUAAGAAAGCGAUUUGAACUGUAAUUUCAAAUUUCACACACAGGGAGUGAGUUAUUGUAAAUAAUUUUAGGGCCCAAUUCUUGAAUGAACUUGAGAAAGAGGUUAAAAUAGCUUUGAGAGGUGAAGAAUAAAAUAGUCCUACAUGUAACUGAGGAUAUUUUCACUGAGACCUUUUAUCAGCAUCCUGCUAGCUUCAAAAAUGUGAAAGACAUGUGCAAAUUACUUGACAAUGCAGAGAAAAAAAAAAUUGUUCUAGUCUAAGUUUUUGAUCUCUUUAAUCAGUAUAAUAGGAGAGUGACCAGAAUACUGUGGUUCAACUGCUACUGAGCUUUGACCAGAAUAUAAUAUUGUCAAAAUUCCAUGAGAAGGUGAUACUUGCAUUUCUCUUUUGAACUUCCUUUGUGCACUUCUGUGUAAGGCAGUUUAAGAACUUCCUCUUUUGCUCAAAUGUUCAUUGCCUUUUCCUACAUAUUCCAAAAGAUAUACUUGAGUCUCUUUAACUAUCAAAAGUAUUGUUCAGAUUUCUGGAGCUAAAGUAAUGCUGUGUAUUAGUAAGCAAGUUAAGUGGAGGCAGAUAACAUCUACUUUAGAAUCCAGCCAACAACAUCUGUGAACUCUUCUAAGAAUGGCUUGAUCUUUUUAGUGACAGAACUAGCUGGGAAAGACUGGUUGCUUGUAAUAAUAUUAGAAAUUAACUGAAUAAUUGAUUGUGUUAGCAUAUCACUCACUAUUCUCUUGAGCUAGGUCAAUGCAGCACUGUCAGGAAAUACAUCCCAAAGACGAAGAAUUAUUUGCAAUCUUUUCUUUGCUGCUUGCUGGGCUGGCAUGCCAGAUAUUUUUCCAAGAGUACCUGGAUGAGAUAAGGAGGCAAGGAGGAUUUUGGGUGACAAGAGAACUGCCUGAUGUAAUCCACAGGUUGGGCAUGACUGAGGUUAAGAAGAUCCAAAGGGAAAAUACAGUUGCAUAAUGCCUAGUUUUAAAUUUUUCCAUUCCUAAGCUGACUUCCUCAGGUUAGAGGUGUGCACUGGCCACGCAUCUCCCUCGAUGGACAAAAUCCUUUGCUAAGAUAAACACAGAAAUUUCCAACUAAAUCUUGGCUUUUAGCCUUUAAAGGGCAUUGCACCAUGUAAAUAAAACUCAGUCCAUAAACUGAGGAGGAGAAGGUAUCAGAGUGGCAGGGAAGUAUCAGGGACCUCAGCAGGGAAGGUAAAGACACAUUUGAUGCUGAAUCAGACCUGAAGUCUAUUGGCUUUUAAAUAGAUUGGGUUCGAAAUAUCAAAAUGUUUCUUUUCAAUAUAUUUGAAAUUCGAAUGAAUAUUUAAGUUUGGUUCAUGACAGACUUGGCUGGCUAGCACAAUAAGAGGUACAGACCUGUUAUAAAAAUAUGCCAUAACUCUGGAGUUUUGUAUGAACAAUAAAUAGCAUAUAAUAAUGACUAUUAACUACAAGGGUUCUCGCCAAUGGCAAAAUACACAUAUUUUCUUUUGAACUGUAUGAAUGUUCUACUGAACGCUUUAUUUUCCCCAAGUGACCUUGCAACACAUUGCCACUCCAGCACUUUAAUAAUUUAGCUCAACUGCUGAACCAUAGCAGCAAAGGUUUUCAAAGUAUAUGGGUGCAUUGUUUAUGUUUGGUUACAAAAAACAAACAGGAUCCAGCUGCAGUCUGCCAACACAUGGCUUCAGCACCUGAAUAUUGGCUAUGCAUGAUUAACAGAUACACGUGGACACUGGGAGUCAUAAAAGAGAGCAGAAAAUACAAGGGGAGAACAUUUGCUGCAUAAACCCCAUCAAAAUCUGCCUUUGUAAGAGACCAAAUGCAAACUGUUGUUAUCCUGUUGAAAUCACCCUACAACCCAGCAGUUAAAGUACCUACAAAACUGAAGAUGUUUUAUUUCUGUUUUUAGCUAGUUGCAAAAAAUAAGGAUUUUUGCUUCCAUCUGUCAGGAAGUUCAUAUUGAUCAGAUUGAAUCACUUAUGCAACAUAAAGUCCUUGUGGGACAUCCCAGCACAGCCUUUUGCAUGCACGUCCACAGCAGAUUGCAAAUCACACAAUAGCUAAAUUCUCACAAUGUACUGGUUGUCCAAUUUGGAUCUAAUCCUAAAGAAAUAUGCCCAAAUUCACAGAAAUACUGGGCACCUGUUUAUCCACUCUGAGCAUCCCUGCCACUGCUUGCAGAUCCCACAACCCUUGCCUUGCUUUCCUGUAUUGCAUCAGUAAAUUAGUGACAGGCCUGUCCACAGAUAGCAAAACAAGGGCUGAACCCUGCCAGGCUCCUAAUGGAAAGACACUCAAUUCCAUUUUGGCCAUAAAUAUAAAUCACAGAGAAUAAUUCAUUGAAAAAAAAAAAAAAAGGGAAAAAAAAAAAAAGAGUGACUGCCAAACAACUCUUGGAAGCUACUCAAUGGCCCUUGCUUUUACAGCAAACAUGAUCCCAAAUAUCAUUUAUAAAUUACUCUCAUACUGUGUCAUAAUUUAGCAUUCAUCCCACUUUUGGGGGACACACGCAGCAUGUAAUUUCAAACCAUGUGAGAAUUAUUGAGAGAGCUUUGCAAUGUCUGAAUAGUUACAAUUUUUUGCAGCCCUCUUUGGAGACCUUACUGUUGGUGCACAAGCAGGCUCGUUUGCACACCUGGUUUUAUCAGAACUGAUUCCUGCAACAAGAGCCUGCAAACCCAGCAGCACUCCUGCAGUCAAAACCAGAGGAGCAGCUGUUUUCAUGUGUUCAUGCAGCAAUUUUGUCUUACUUUCCGUCACAAAAUCUGCAGAUUUUCAUAGUUUUCCUCCAAUGAGAUCUACUUAUCUAAGUUAUCUAAAAUAUUGUCAAUACUAUACAAAGAAAAAAAAAAAGAAUCCUUUCUACAUAACCCAUAUGCAAAUAGCAGAAAACUUAUUUCUACUCCAUAGAUAUAAACUGAUAUGUUCUAACCUGUUUUAAAACUUUACAGAUUUUCAUUUCUAUAUAUGCUUAAGAAUAUUAGCCCAGUCUUUACUUUCCCAUGGCAACAAAAAUGGAAUAAUGAAAUCCAGGCCUAAUGGCACUAUAGAUUUUCACUCCAGUAAACCUGAAGCUGCAUGAUUUGCCACUCAUGCAUUUAUCUAUAUAUGGUAAAGUGAGUAAACACCGCAUAAAAUAUAUUUUGUGCUUCCUCGGUUUUGGACAGAUUAGCACAAAUUAAAUUUCACACUAAUCUGCCCAUGGUCAGGAGUGCUACAUUAGGAGUGAGGGGGAUUCAGCUAAUUGUGAAGAAUAUUUUUCUCUAAUAAAAUGAUCAGUGAAUAUAGCAAAUCUAUUCUGGAGUGCUACCUUUACCAAUAUGGCCUAUCAAUAUUGAAUCAAUAAAUGAUGAAGAAGAAUAUCUGUAUGCAGAAA